UAAAGAAGACUAGAUUUCGGGACAGU
rnacentral:piRNA from 1 species